AUCAGUACUCAAAUAGCUAACCUGUUCCUGCCUUCGGAAAAUGAGCAUUUGAAUUAGCUUCACUGAACCAAACUCACUGGUGGCACAGACCAAUCUCAGAGAUGUGCAUUGAAGAUGAUUAAUAGAGCCUGAUUCUAGUCUGUAUUGAGCUUCUACAAAUGGGGCAUGAUUCUAAGUCUUCUCCACAGUCACAACAAGUCUGAUGCCCACAACCGAAUGCCAUGUCCUUUCUAUUAGUAAGACAAAUGGGACAAACCUGAUUAUCAUAAGUAGAACUUGAAUAUGGAGCCGUGUUGACUGAGGUAUCAUAUCCAGAAACUGGUGAGUCAUAUCCAGAGCAAGAAGGUACUGAUGAAUCAUAUCCAGAAUAUGAAGGUACACGUUGCUGAAAGCUGCUUGAGCGUGAAGGUUUUCCUCUGUUGGUGAAAGAAGAUGGUCCAUGAAGAGGUGG
rnacentral:misc_RNA from 1 species